rnacentral:rRNA from 1 species
GACGUAGGGUGCAAGCGUUGUCCGGAUUUACUGGGCGUAAAGAGCGCGUAGGCGGCUCGUUAAGUGAGAAGUGAAAGCUGUGGGCUCAACCCACAAACCGCUUUUCAUACUGGCGAGCUGGAGUGAUGCAGAGGUGGAUAGAAUUCCCGGUGUAGCGGUGAAAUGCGUUGAUAUCGGGAGGGAAUGACCCGUGGCGAAGGGCGGUCCACUGGGCAU